GCAACUGUAGCCCAGUGGUUAGGGUGUCACUUUCCCAACGCCUCUACGAGGCCGAGACAAGUGGAGAUCGCGAGUUCGAACCUCGCCAGUUGCA